rnacentral:rRNA from 1 species
CCAGCUCCAAGAGUGUAUAUUAAAGUUGUUGCAGUUGAAAGGCUCGUAGUCGGAAGGUGGGGCGGUGGAUGCAGAGCAGGGAGACCUGGAUCUGGGUCUGGGGCCCUUCGGGGGGCGAGGGAUGAUACCCGACCCCCCCCGUUACUGUGAGGAAAUUAGAGUGUUCAAAGCAGGCGUAACUCGCCUCCGAAUACGUUAGCAUGGGAUAAUGGAAUACGACUUCGGUCUUGUUUCGUUGGUUUCGCUUGGCUGAAGUAAUGAUUGAUAGGGACAGUUGGGGGCAUUAGUAUUUAGUUGUCAGAGGUGAAAUUCUAGGAUUUACUAAAGACUGACCAAUGCGAAAGCAUUUGCCAAGGAUGUUUUCAUUAAUCAAGAACGAAAGUAGGGGGAUCGAAGACGAUCAGAUACCGUCGUAGUCUCUACCGUAAACUAUGCCGACCAGGGAUCCGGAGAGUUUGCAUGGAUGACUCCCCGGGCACCUUGUGAGAAAUCAUAAGUGUUUGGGUUUUGGGGGGAGUAUGGUCGCAAGGCUGAAACUUAAAGGAAUUGACGGAAGGGCACCACCAGGAGUGGAACCUGCGGCUUAAUUCGACUCAAC